GUCUACAGCCAUGCCACCCUCAACGAGCCCGAUCUUAUCUGAUCUCAGAAGUUAAGCAGGGUCGGCCCUAGUUAGUUCUUAGAUGGGAGAUCACCUAGGAAUACCAGGUGCUGUAGGCG
rnacentral:rRNA from 1 species